GCGAGAUUCCCCCUCCCCUGCCCUGGCCGCGCCCCCACUGGCCGGAGCCCCCCCUCGGGCGGCCUCGGAGCCUGGGGAACAAGGUCAACUCCCAGACUACUGCAUUGGACAGCACAGUAUGGGGAGGAGGUGACCAGCCCUCUCUGGAGAAAGAAGUGGUUCAGGACUAUUUAGAAAAGCUGGACGAGCACAAGUCCAUGGGGCCAGAUGCGCUGCAUCCGAGGGUGCUAAAGGAGUUGGCGGAUGUGAAUGCAGAGCCAUUAGCUAUUAUCUUUGAAAACUCAUGGUGAUCGGGCAAGCUCCUGGAUGACUGGAAAAAGGCUAAUGUAGUGCCCCUCUUUAGAAAAGGGAAGGAGGAGGAUCUGGAGAACUAUAGGCCAGUCAGUCUCACCUCAGUCCCUGGAAAAUCAUGGAGCAGGUCCUCAAGGAAUCAAUUUUGAAGCACUUAGAGGGGAGGAAAGUGAUCAGGAACAGUCAGCAUGGAUUCACCAAGGGCAAGUCAUGCCUGACUAACCUAAUUGCCUUCUAUGACGAGAUAACUGGCUCUGUGGAUGAGGGGAAAGCAGUGGAUGUGUUAUUCCUUGACUUUAGCAAAGCUUUUGAUACGGUCUCCCACAGUAUUCUUGCCAGCAAGUUAAAGAAGUAUGGGCUGGAUGAAUGGACUAUAAGGUGGAUAGAAAGCUGGCUAGAUCAUCGGCCUUAACAGGUAGUGAUCAAAAGCUCCAAGCGGAGUGCCCCAAGGGUCGGUCCUGGGGCCGAUUUUGUUCAGUAUCUUCAUUAAUGAUCUGGAGGAUGGCGUGGUUUGCACCCUCAGCAAGUUUGCAGAUGACACUAAACUGGGAGGAGUGGUUGAUACGCUGGAGGGUAGGGAUAGGAUACAGAUGGACCUAGCCAAAUUAGAGGAUUGGACCAAAAGAAAUCUGAUGAGGUUCAACAAGGACAAGUGCAGAGUCCUGCACUUAGGACGGAAGAAUCCUAUGCACUGCUACAGACUAGGGACCAAGUGGCUAGGCAGCAGUUGUACAGAAAAGGACCUUGGGGUUACGGUGGACGAGAAGCUGGAUAUGAGUCAACCGUGUGCCCUUGUUGCCAAGAAGACUAACGGCAUUUUGGGCUGUAUAAGUAGGGGCAUUGCCAGCAGAUCGAGGGACGUGAUCAUUCCCCUCUAUUCAGCAUUGGCAAACCAAGCCACUGCUCUGAAACAAAAGCCUUUUGCCUGUGGUUGGACAUAUUCCACUGCCUCUUCCAAAUAGCACCUCCACAGCCCCUAACUCGGCUCUCUUCAGUUGUCAGCAGAUGGAAAGCAAGCAGGGUGUGGAAACACGGAGUGGUAAGUUAUUGUGUGAGCCUGGCUGCGUUGCUGGAGGAUGAGGGGCAGAUAAAGUUCAGAGCUAUUUACAGUCACCUCUGCAGCUCCCUCUCCUCUCUGUCAUUUGAGAACAUUACUGGGGUAACUCCAGCAGGGGCCACAGUAGGAAAGCUGUGAAUUUGCUGCUGGGUGGAAGUAGGACAGGCAGAUUGAUGAUCCCUGGAGAACAGGAGCAGGUGUGCUGUGGACCAAGAGAGAUGCACCAAGGGGGCACAGGGUGAAUCCUGUUGGAGAGCUCUGGAUGCCGCUUCAAGGACAAGCACUGUCGCAGCUCCUGUCUUCCUGUGGCAGGUGUGAGCCCCGGGGCUCUCCCCUGCCUGCUCUGUUUGGGGGCCAGGAAGGCACUAGGAAUGGAAGGAAACAGGGCUAUUUUCUCAAAGAAAAGCAAAGGGAGCAGGAUGAGUGGCACUUAAACCAUCUUUUCCUCUUGCUCUAAUGGGCUGCCCCCUCCCAGUUAAACAGAAGCAGUGAAUCCUCGGCCUUUAACAGCUUCCACCACUUUCAGAUCCUUUCCAGUCACAAGCAUAAACAUUUAUCCCCCCCUCACACUAAAGCUUGGGUGCCUGGCCCUCGCUCAUACAAAAGCUACUUUCAGACCCAAACAGGCCCCGGUUUCCUUGAACUGGGCUAGCAGGGAAUGUGGUGGUCUCAGGUACAUGCAUUACUCCAAUCUCUUUCCAACUGGGCAACUGCUAGAGAGAACAGGGGAGGCAACAAUGGUGCGCGUCUUCACUUACCGCUUCUGUUUGGGUCAAGGAUACCCGGGUAAGUGCUCUGCAGGAGAUCGGUCUAAGGAAGACACUGGGCCUGAAAUUCAUGACAACAGCCUGGCUUGGAGGGGUCGGAUUUGCUCUUGGAGGAGGGGAAGCAUUCUAUUUAGAUUGAGCGUUUCAGGGCCUGCGUUCAACAACAACCGUGCUGCAGUCUGGGGGUGAAGGAUGGAUAUAGAACCCCACACAAGUACUGUGGUGCAGAUCAGUACAAAUAAGGAGAAAUGGUGAGGUGAAAGGUAAGUGGGGGACAGACUGCUUCAUAAGUUGAGAGAGGUUUGAGCUUUUUUAAAAGAAAAAAUGCUGUGGCGUAUCAUGUUACUUCAAACUUUUCCUUGGAUAGGACCAUUGCCAGAGACGCUGUGUUUCACCCAAAUACAGUAUCUUUAGACGAAGGAAUGAAAAGCUUUCCUUGAGUCAAAGUCAAAUAAAUCCUUCACAUGAGGUCAGUUUGGGGCUCCUGUCAGCCAACCAAAGCAGAGCACAGCUUAGUGCUUUCCCAAGUAAGCUCCCUCUCCCUGUCCAUGACGGGACCAGACAGCACCCUUCAUCCUAAAGUACAGUUAUAGCUACACCCAAGGUUAUGGCAUUGCACUUUGGCUGCACUGUCACACUGAAGGCAGCCUCAAUUCUAGUCACUCUUUUGGGACCAACUGGAGAUUGGAUAAUGUGAGUCCGAGGCUGAACAACUGUCAAAUGAGCACAGAUUAACAGGACCCCCUCCCCAAAUCAUAAGACCCAUCGCUGUUAAGGUGACAUGUGAAAGCUGGCAGAUGUGAGUGUCCUGUGGAGGAAGCUCACACAGACAAUGCAGUCUGAAAGCAGCUACCGGUCAUUGCAAAUAGGAUUCGGGAGAAGUCACAUCUAACGCAGGUAGGGAGAUCCAAGAGCUUUGGUAACAAGAACUUCAGCCCGUACGAUGUCAUUGUGGUGAGGAGUCUAAACUUCCCUUAAGAGUGGGCUAAGCACCAUAACCCAAUAAACUCAGCUUGCCGGCAGUGCACUGGUGUGAGCGGCGAGGAGGCCUGCAUCCCCUCUAGCAGCUGAGUUGGUAGGUUGAGAUAUUUCACACCCAAUGGCGGGAAUGUUCCAGUAAAGCUGAGCUGUUCUCAACUCUUCCCUGGUCUAGUUUUUCCGGUGUUAGGACCCAGCCCUAAUCUAGGCUCUGGUUUCUUGGCUUGAGCCCAAGCAAGCAACAUUUGUUAAAGAAAACCUUUAUUGAUUAACACAUUGGUCACAGGUACAAUCAUAACAAGCCAUCAUCAUACAGUAGAGCGUCUACUGAAUGUAGAGUCCUACUCCACACAACUCUUCACCUGACUUAAAUUGACCCACAAGGCUAUUGCUUUACAUAGGCUGCACCCUACAAUUUUCAAGACGUUUUCCCCUGUAAGCACAUAGAUUUCCCGUCACGAAGCAUUUUGUAAGCUCUGUAUCAUUCAAUGACUGGAGCAGGUUUUUUCCAUUUUCUUCUGAUAAGUCAGAUAACUGCUGGUGGCACAUUUUCAUGUUUACAUCUAGUGGACAGAAAACUCGCGAGCCAGAGGUAUUCCAAGGAGGGUCCCAUUUGGAGCAAUGUUAGAGCAUCAAGAGAUAAAGAGGUCACCGUAUUUCUGUAGUGAGCAGCGCAAUGGUCUUCCAGUCCAUUCACAAGAGAGCAGCUCUGGCUUAAUAGCGAAUACAGAGCUAGGUGGUCAAACACCCAACACUGCUUAUUGCACACAACUGAAGAUGUUUAAAGUCUGUGGUGCAGACUAGCUUAGAAAUUCUUCCCCUCCAAUUUGAGUUAGGGUUAGGACCCAUUUUUUUCAGCCAAGACAAUUCUAGAUAGCCGUCCAAGGCAGCUACAAUUGCAGUACAUAGGUGCCACCAAGGGGAAGGUUCUUAAACUAUAAAGUCAGUUAUUCCAGGGUUGGAGGCAGAUGUUCAAAACAAGUUAUUCAGUGCGAACAGAAGCCAGUCAUUCCCUUCUUAAGGACAAGGAAGAUGCUUUUCCUUUUCCCACCUUCUAGUCAACAUGUGAUGUUCCAUAAGGACAAGAUGGGUUGUCUGUAAGAAUCACAUUUGGGGAAUUUUCUUAAGGCAUCUUUUUAAUAUGGCUAUUAACACUGCUAAUAUUAAGGCCAACAUGACAUUCCAGCUAAGCAUGGUACCAUGAGAGGAUCCCAAAAGUCUCACCCAGGGCGGGUGGGGCAAGACAGACUUUUUGGAAUGAGAAUCUUGGGUUUAUAGAAUGCAUCCUUCUCCCCACCUAGAGUGGUUAAGAGGGUCAGCAACAUCCCCUCUCCUCCUCCCUCCAGGCAGUGCCCUGCAUUUGUACGGGGCUAUUUCAGAAUUCACUCCAACACUUGCAGUGAGAUAUGAGCAGCAGUGCAGGAGUGAUGGAAUAAAUGGCUUCUUUAAAGCAGUCCUUGAGCUAAAGUAGUAACUAAGAGACAGCAAGUGUCUUCCCCCUUAUCCUGAGCACAGUGAAUGAGCUGCAGCCUCUCAGAAGCAUUUUAUGUAGCAUUGGCUUCUAUGGGAAGUAGAACUGGCACUUGUGUCUUCUCUAGAUAGGAAGCCAGGGCUGAACGACCAAGGGGAAGAAACUUAUAGGCAAGAAACCUCCUCGGGCAGCCGAUUGCUCCCUUCUCUGAAUUUCAGGUUGUUAAGAGUAAGAGGGGAGUUUGUGAAAUAAUGGUCAGACUAACAUUGAUAGGAAGCAUCACUCCUUUAGCCUAGUAAUUAAGUAGCUCACUUGCAAGAGCAAGUUAUAGAGUUGGAUGCUGAGGGGUCUGUGGGUUUAGUGGGCAGGAUCUUUCUACAAAACAGAUUAGAUUAGAGCCAGCCUCCUUUCUCUUUCUCAUUUGAGAAUGGACUGGAAGAAGAUGGGUCUAAGGUCUAAUAGCAGAGGGGAGGGAUUCCCAUCCUGAGAUCAAAAAGCAACAGCUUUGCUUGAUAGCAGUAGCCCCUGACCAUGAAGAAUGGCCCUUUUGUAUACAAGGGUCUUUCUGCUAAGGACUGAUCCUUCUAUUCCAGGAUUAACAGAACAUUGUGAUGCUAUUUCUAGAGCAGAGAAGCAGUAAUAGGAAAUUAACAGUCUUACUUUUAUUCCUUGUUGCCCAUUUAUAAUUGAAGUGAACAGCAAGUUAGAGUGGAACAAAGACAGUGCGGUUAGCACGUCAAUGAGAGAGCCCAAGGACUGUUUUCAGGAGAGCUCAACUCCCAUUUAGGGACCAAAAUACGUGACCAGAUCUUCAAGAGAGCUGAGCACACUGGUACUGAGCUCUCUUGGAAACCUGGCCGUAAGUGUCACCAUAGGAGCAGCUGAGUUCUGUGCACUUUUGAAAAUCUGGACCCAUCAGGUUAGUCAGCCGUAAGUGACGUGAAUGAUGCAAUCUAUUUAAUGUGGCAUCUUUUACUAUGAAAAAUCUAGAAAUUCUUGAAUAUAGGAAUCCCUUCCCCAAUGAAAAGCGGCCCCCUCUGGGGUGGCACGCAGCAGCUGACUGCAUAUCAACAAGAACACUACAUACUGGUUUAGAACAGAGUUUGAAUACAUACCCAAUUCAAACCACAGGGGAAGUUCAGAGGCUGAAUGUAGUUACUAGAGUGGGAAUUUGGCUAGGACAUUGGAAUUAAAUGCAAUUUUGAGAAGAGGGGGACAUGCAAAAAAACAAAGUUCUAUAGACAAUUCAGAAAGCUGGAGGCUACAUUUCCCAGAGCAGUAGAACACAGAGGAAAUACAAUUGGCAUAUUUAGCUGGAAGGACUUAGCGAUGACUGACACCAUAGCAAGUGUUAUGACAGACAUGUAACUAAUACAUAUUGCCAUGAUUGUCAACUUUGUGCAUUACCUUCUGUCUGUUCUCCAUAAAAUAAAGACUAAGAAAAAGCUUAAACAACUGAAGUCUGACUUUUUACAGAGCACAUGAAAAUAUGAGCCACAAGGCUCCACCUUUGGCUGCUGAAGGGGGAGGGAGAGAGGAAGAGAUCUAUGGCCAAGGCAUAUUUGGACCGAUGUUCAGCUGCAAGAGACGUGAUGGGAGUGUGCAGCUAAACUAAAGGGUUAGG